rnacentral:piRNA from 1 species
UGAUAGAGUGAUGGCAUACUUAAAUGGUGUC